rnacentral:lncRNA from 1 species
UACCAGUGAAAUUAUUAUCAGCUCCCAAAGAUAUCGGCAUUCCUGGAGGGCAAAGGGAAGGCUCUGCUAAUAAAAGAGCUUGGUGGGAAAAGUGAGGACAGAGACCCAUAGGGCUGGAGUCCGGAAACUUGCGGUAGCUUCAAGUUCAGUAUUGCUUGAUAGCAAGGUGUUGUCUCAGGUGACUUGAUGUUGUCACUAAGCUACUGAGGUAGGUGCUGCCAACGUGAACCACUAAGAAGCGCUG